rnacentral:rRNA from 1 species
AUAAUCCCUGCGGGGGAAAGAUUUAUCGCUAUUAGAUGAGCCUAUGUUAGAUUAGCUAGUUGGUAGGGUAAAGGCCUACCAAGGCGAUGAUCUAUAGCUGGUCUGAGAGGAUGAUCAGCCACACUGGAACUGAGAUACGGUCCAGACUCCUACGGGAGGCAGCAGUGGGGAAUAUUGGACAAUGGGCGCAAGCCUGAUCCAGCUAUGCCGCGUGAGUGAGGAAGGCCUUAGGGUUGUAAAACUCUUUCAGUAGGGAAGAUAAUGACGGUACCUACAGAAGAAGUCCCGGCAAACUCCGUGCUAGCAGCCGCGGUAAUACGGAGGGGGCAAGCGUUGUUCGGAAUUAUUGGGCGUAAAGGGCAUGUAGGCGGUUCGGUAAGUUAAAGGUGAAAUGCCAGGGCUUAACCCUGGAGCUGCUUUUAAUACUGCCA